AUGUGGACAUAUUGUCGAAGCAUAUUCACAAUCUGGAAAGUUGUUGAACUAUCCAAACCAGUGGAUAUCUCGUCCAUGAAAAGCGCCUUCGCUGGGCCAACCAGCAUUUCUCCUGUGAUUUCCCAAACCAAUCAGUGUCACUAAAUACCCCUUAUCAUCUCGUCUCCGACUAAUGUGUCGGCACAUAUUUCAAGCCCCAGAACCUAGAGAAACAACAAGAGAACCAUGAGAAGACUGAGCUGCUGGAAUUGUCAGAAUGGCCAUUAAAUUUUGAGUUUAAUCUCUGCUCCACGUACCUUAAGAAUAUAAUCCGUGACAACAUUUGCUUCAUCUCCUUCUGUAGCUGCUGCCUACAUGAUAAGAAACAUACAUUUUAAAAUAUUCAUUGUCCUAAAUUCAGCUGAGUUGGAUACAUUAUUGAUUUCAGUAUUCAGUUAUGUUUUUCACUGCA